GCUGGCGACUGGCGCACGGGUGAGUAACACGUAUCCAACCUGCCGAUGACUCGGGGAUAGCCUUUCGAAAGAAAGAUUAAUACCCGAUGGCAUAGUUCUUCCGCAUGGUGGAACUAUUAAAGAAUUUCGGUCAUCGAUGGGGAUGCGUUCCAUUAGGUUGUUGGCGGGUAACGGCCCACCAAGCCUUCGAUGGAUAGGGGUUCUGAGAGGAAGGUCCCCCACAUUGGAACUGAGACACGGUCCAAACUCCUACGGGAGGCAGCAUG
rnacentral:rRNA from 1 species